ACAUAACACUGAUAUCAUGUUUUUCUUGGUGAUCUUUUAUUCAGUUAUAUCUUUUGCUAAGUUUUAAGUAGUGGCAGUUAAUUAAACGACAUUCAUUUAAUAUUACAUACCUGAUUCAGAGCAUUACACACAGAUCAACUUAACAAUCUGCAAAACCUUGUAGCUGCAAUGUUGUGUCUCCAUAAGGGACAGUUGGCUCCAGGAGAUAAGUGGGAGUCAGUGCCUGUCCUCGAGAAGGAGAGAAUGUUCCUUUGCUGUGUCAAAAGUAGUCAACAGGUUCAUAUUGAAGUGAAGUUCAUAUUAAUACAGGUUUUGUUUCUUGGCAAUUCUGCGGACGCAGGCUCUGGGCGGAGCCAGGAGUUGAACAGAUCUAACAUGACAAUUAAAUUGAUUUCAUUCCCUGGCACAGGAUGACAGGACUGGAGCAACGACACUGGAUAGGAGAAGGUCUCAUACUUUCUAAGAUAUGAGGUCACUAACCUUUUCUUUUAAUUUUCUAGCUCCGUUGAUUUGACACAUGGGAAUGUGUCAAAAAGGGGGGAAGUUGAGUUUUAACAUCAAACAAGGGUUAUAUGAACAUUUUUAUGACUUCAUUUGUGUUUUUAAUAACUUAGGUGUGGUAAAGCUUAAGCUAAUAAUGACCCAAAAGGUUUCCAGACUUUUUAGAGAA